GAAAGAAUAUCGGAGACGGAUGGGCAUGCGGCGCAUUAGCUGGUUGGCGGGGUAACGGCCCACCAAGGCGACGAUGCGUAGGGGUUCUGAGAGGAAGGUCCCCCACACUGGUACUGAGACACGGACCAGACUCCUACGGGAGGCAGCAGUGAGGAAUAUUGGUCAAUGGGCGAGAGCCUGAACCAGCCAAGUCGCGUGAGGGAGUACUGCCCUAUGGGUUGUAAACCUCUUUUGUCGGGGAGCAAAAGCCGGACGUGUCCGGCUGUGAGAGUACCCGAAGAAAAAGCAUCGGCUAACUCCGUGCCAGCAGCCGCGGUAAUACGGAGGAUGCGAGCGUUAUCCGGAUUUAUUGGGUUUAAAGGGUGCGCAGGCGGAUUUUUAAGUCAGCGGUCAAAUCGUGGGGCUCAACCCCAUCCAGCCGUUGAAACUGGGGAUCUAGAGUGUGCGAGAGGUAUGCGGAAUGCGUGGUGUAGCGGUGAAAUGCAUAGAUAUCACGCAGAACCCCGAUUGCGAAGGCAGCAUACCGGUGCACAACUGACGCUCAGGCACGAAAGCGUGGGUAUCGAACAGGAUUAGAUACCCUGGUAGUCCACGCAGUA
rnacentral:rRNA from 1 species